rnacentral:lncRNA from 1 species
CAGUUCUUUACUCCUGUUUCUUUUUUCAAACAAGGAUUAAAAAAAAAAGACCAUGAGAUGAUAUUUUUUGCAGUUUAUCUGGAAACAAAACAGAAACAACAACAUGAACACUGGCUCAAGCAAAAAAAAAAAAAAAAAAAGAAGAAGAAGAAAAAACAAAACACAACAUUAUAGAACCACAGAAACCUCCAGAGGUCCGUCAGCUGAUUUGGACAAACUCUGCGUUUUGUCUGCGUUCUGCGCUAUAACGUGAACCACCUGUGCGCCGCUCCCUGACGAGAAAACAUGACAUGACGGAUGAAGAGCCCGGCCGCUGACACAACGCGCUGCAGAGAGCGUCCAGCGGAGGCAUCCGCAGAAACCGGAGAGCUCCUCGACUGUUUACUUCUACAAAAAGUACGAAGACCAAAAGGAAUUAUUGAAGAACCCAUCGACCUCAUGGCGCAGAGACGUAAUGUGGCCCAAAGCUACACACUUCUUGUUGAGUGUGUGUGUGCGCGCGUGUGUGUUUGUGUGUGUGUGUGUGUGUGUGUGUGUGGAUGCAGAUUCAUCACACUGCUUCUGACUGUCAGGAGCUGUUUGUGAAGAGGAGGAGGAGGAAGAAAGAGGAAGAGGAAGAAGGAGUGUGUAGGCCGGAGGGAUGUGAGCGCUCGGAUUUACGGCCUGUCAGCGAAGCCAUCCUUUAAUCGUUUUUAUUUUUUUUUAGAAGGAUUUAUAUAUUUUUUUUGUUUCUGAAAAAGACUUUAAACCAAAGUAUAAAUAUAUAUAAAUGAAUGCAUAUUGUACAUACCAGUGUAAGUGCGCCUAUAGCCUGUAAAGGGACCAAUGCAAUCUUAGAGUCGUUCGCUGCAUGGAUUUUUAUUUUCACCGACUUACUCUUUUUCUUCAGCAAGUCUCCAAACUCCGUCCAAAAUGUACAUUUUUGUUUUUUGUUUUUUUUUGCUUAUUUAUUAAAACACAUAUUUUUGAACGAAAUCUGGUUGAUAUUUUUUCUUUUCUUUUCUUUUUAAAUUAAUUUCAGCUGCAGAUUGAAUGUAGUUCAAAUACAAAUCGAAACAUUCCUCUGAAAUUUUCUGGUGGUUUCCCACCGAAACGAGAUGGAAAAAUGAAAAGUUGUUCAGGUUUCCCCUCAUGGUGGCUGCAAGAUUAGGAAAAUAAAAUACCAACACCCUAAUUUUAUUUUAUUUUGUAUUUUAUCCUCAGUGCUGGGUCUCUCUCUCUCCCUCUCUCUCUCUCUUCUCUUGUUAUGGAAAGAAAACGCCGACUUAAAGAAAGAAAAAAAAAGAAAAAAGAAAAACAGGACCAUAAAAAAAUACAGCUUCAUUAACAGAGGAGGAAACUCGAGCCAGUUUCAAACUCGAGCCAUAUAAAACGCUUGUCCGCUUAAAUAACGAGUAAUCAUUUCAGAUGGCGAUGCCUCCGGGCCCUUUAACGAGCAGGAGCCCCAAAGACCGCAGAUAAGGACAAUAACUCUCCGCCUGCACUGCAAAAAAAAAAAACAGGACUCCAACUUUUUUUGUAUUUUUUUGUUAGACGACUGAAGAAAGAGCUUUGAACCUCGGGGCUAACUCUUUAAAACAUUAAUGUUGUUUACAUCUCGCUUUCCCAGACGUGCUCAGAUGCAAUCUAAACACUGAAAGGAGCUCAUUGUUGAGCGGCUGCAGUGUGAAUGUGAGGCUGCUGCUGCUGCUGCUGCCUGCAGCUCCACCAGGACAAACACUCAGCCUCUCAUUUGGACUGAAGUGAAUCUAUAUGAUGUGUUUAGAUGGAUGACAGGGAGAGAGAGGGAACACUAACCAGCAGUCAGACUCUUCAGAGGUGGACAACUGGAUUACAAAGUAAGAGCAUUCAAAGAUAACAAGUGCAACAUGAAUUCACUGUUGUUUUCUACAAUAUGCAAACCUUAAAAUCUUUAUGGGAAUAAUAUCUUAUAUUUAUAUUACCUCCGGGCUGUUUUACGGUCUCGAGGUCAGCGUGGUUUGGAAGGGGAAACACCUGCAGCAGCUGAGGCUUCAUCCUCCUGCUGCACCCAGCCCACAUCAUCAUCCUCCUCACCACCAACACGCAUCUCUUUAACUUAAUGUUUUAUAUGUUCUCGUCUACGUUCUCCGAAGGGAACCUGAGAGCAUGUCAUGUAUCUCUCGCUUCUGUUUUUUUUCAUUUCAAGGCCGUGAUGUUGAAAUUUAGGCGGCUCAUCUGACAGAGAACUGAACUGUGUGACUCUGUAAUGGAAUAGUGUGUUUUCACCAUGCUGGAAUUUCUAGCUUCGAUUCAGCACCUUCAAAAAUAUCAAUACUCGAUUUACCGCUGAGAAAAACCUGUGGAGGGCAGAAAAUUUUUCCUGUUGGGGUGUGGCAGUAUUGCAAUAUUCAUGAAAACUGGUUAUUAAAAAAUGAAAUA